rnacentral:lncRNA from 1 species
GUUUGGUCAAGAGUUCAAAUUUAACGCAUUCCCUUAGAUGAUUAGACGUAACUCCAUCGUAUUAUACUUGGAAAGGGUAAAGCAAUGAGAUAAAGGGUAAACCUAGAAUAACUUCGUUUGUGAUAUUCUGAAUUAAAACAAAAGACGUUUUAAAACAUAUUUUGUUUUGGCAUACGUGGGCUUUGGAUAAUUCAUAAUUUAACUUUAAAGCUUUACCAGAUUCUGUUCCUAAAACUUCUUUUUACUUUUUGUAAAACUGGGUUGGAACAAGACCUUCUUGA